UACGUAGGUGGCAAGCGUUGUCCGGAGUUAUUGGGCGUAAAGCGCGCGCAGGCGGUUGGAUAAGUCCAUGGGGAAAGCGCCUGGCUCAACUAGGCGAGUGCCGUGGGGACUGUUCAGCUGGAGUGGAGCAGAGGCGAGUGGAAUUCCGGGUGUAGUGGUGAAAUGCGUAGAGAUCCGGAGGAACACCAGAGGCGAAGGCGGAUCUCUGGGCCAUUACUGACGCUGAGGCGCGAGAGCGUGGGGAGCGAACCGG
rnacentral:rRNA from 1 species